GUCUAUGGCCAUGCCACGCUGAACAAGCCUGAUAUCUGAUCUCGGAAGCUAAGCAAGGGUCAGACCUGGUUAGUACUUGGACAGGAGACCACCUAGGAAGACCGAGUGCUAUAGGCA
rnacentral:rRNA from 1 species